GACCAUGUCCAUGCCACCCUGAACAAGCCCCAUCUCGUCUGAUCUCGGAAGCUAAGUAGGGUCGGGCCUGGUUAGUACUUGGAUGGGAGACCACCUAGGAAGACCGGGUGCUGUAGGCC
rnacentral:rRNA from 1 species